rnacentral:rRNA from 1 species
AUUGAACGCUGGCGGCAUGCUUUACACAUGCAAGUCGAACGGUAACAGGCCGCAAGGUGCUGACGAGUGGCGAACGGGUGAGUAAUGCAUCGGAACGUGCACAGUCGUGGGGGAUAACGCAGCGAAAGCUGCGCUAAUACCGCAUACGAUCUAUGGAUGAAAGCGGGGGACCGUAAGGCCUCGCGCGAUUGGAGCGGCCGAUGUCAGAUUAGGUAGUUGGUGGGGUAAAGGCUCACCAAGCCAACGAUCUGUAGCUGGUCUGAGAGGACGACCAGCCACACUGGGACUGAGACACGGCCCAGACUCCUACGGGAGGCAGCAGUGGGGAAUUUUGGACAAUGGGCGCAAGCCUGAUCCAGCAAUGCCGCGUGCAGGAAGAAGGCCUUCGGGUUGUAAACUGCUUUUGUACGGAACGAAACGGCUCUGGUCAAUACCUGGGGCUAAUGACGGUACCGUAAGAAUAAGCACCGGCUAACUACGUGCCAGCAGCCGCCGUAA